AUAACGGUCCUAAGGUAGCGAAAUUCCUUGUCAGGUAAGUUCUGACCCGCACGAAUGGCGUAAUGAUUUGGGCACUGUCUCGACAGCCCGCCCGGCGAAAUUGUAGUACUGGUGAAGAUGCCAGUUACCCGCAACUAGACGGAAAGACCCCAUGGAGCUUUACUGCAGUUUAAUACUGGGAAUCGGUAAUUCAUGUACAGGAUAGGUGGGAGACUGAGAAGCAUGGCCGUCAGGUCGUGUGGAGUCACCGGUGGGAUACCACUCUUGGAUUGCUGGUUUCCUAACCUGCGGCCCUGAAUCGGGUCGGGGGACACUGUUAGACGGGCAGUUUGACUGGGGCGGUCGCCUCCAAAAGAGUAACGGAGGCGCUCAAAGGUUCGUUCAGCACGGACGGAAAUCGUGCAUUGAGUGUAAACGCAUAAACGAGCCUAACUGCGAGACCGACGGGUCGAGCAGUAACGAAAGUUGGAGUUAGUGAUCCGGUGGUAUGUGAGUGGAAAUGCCAUCGCUCAACGGAUAAAAGCUACCCUGGGGAUAACAGGCUGAUCUCCCCCAAGAGUCCACAUCGACGGGGAGGUUUGGCACCUCGAUGUCGGCUCAUCGCAUCCUGGGGCUGUAUUCGGUCCCAAGGGUUUGGCUGUUCGCCAAUUAAAGCGGCACGCGAGCUGGGUUCAGAACGUCGUGAGACAGUUCGGUCCCUAUCUGUUGCGGGCGUAAGAGAUUUGAAGGGAGCUGUCCUUAGUACGAGAGGACCGGGAUGGACGUACCUCUGGUGCACCAGUUGUCCUGCCAAGGGCAUAGCUGGGUAGCUAUGUACGGACGAGAUAAACGCUGAAAGCAUCUAAGCGUGAAACUCUCCCUAAGAUGAGAUCUCUCAUCCAUUAUGGAGUAAGGGCCCAGAAAGACGAUCUGGUUGAUAGGCCGGAGGUGGAAGCACGGUAACGUGUGCAGCUGACCGGUACUAAUAGCCCGAGGGCUUGACCUA
rnacentral:rRNA from 1 species